rnacentral:piRNA from 1 species
UGCCCUGAAGACAGACUUUGUGCUCCUUGC